AUUGAACGCUGGCGGCAGGCCUAACACAUGCAAGUCGAACGGUAACAGGAAACAGCUUGCUGUUUCGCUGACGAGUGGCGGACGGGUGAGUAAUGUCUGGGAAACUGCCUGAUGGAGGGGGAUAACUACUGGAAACGGUAGCUAAUACCGCAUAACGUCGCAAGACCAAAGAGGGGGACCCUCGGGCCUCUUGCCAUCGGAUGUGCCCAGAUGGGAUUAGCUUGUUGGUGGGGUAACGGCUCACCAAGGCGACGAUCCCUAGCUGGUCUGAGAGGAUGACCAGCCACACUGGAACUGAGACACGGUCCAGACUCCUACGGGAGGCAGCAGUGGGGAAUAUUGCACAAUGGGCGCAAGCCUGAUGCAGCCAUGCCGCGUGUAUGAAGAAGGCCUUCGGGUUGUAAAGUACUUUCAGCGGGGAGGAAGGGAGUAAAGUUAAUACCUUUGCUCAUUGACGUUACCCGCAGAAGAAGCACCGGCUAACUCC
rnacentral:rRNA from 1 species